GAUUUUGGCGUGUUCUACCUUUCAAAAAAGACCAGAAUUUCCAGGAAAUUUUGGUGUGUUCUACCUUCCAAAAAAAAUUUGAACUUCCAGGAAAUUUUGGCACGUUCUACCUUCCAAAAAAAAAUUGAACUUCCAGGAAAUUCUGGCACAUUCUACCUUCCAAAAAAAUUUUGAAUUUCCAGGAACGAGUGGAAAGAAGAGCGGCGCCACAGGAAGUGGAAUCGGGCGUCCGAGCGGAAGCCGGGGGCGUUGCGGGGUGACCCUGCGAGGACGAGGACGAGGACGAGGCCUAGCGGGACUGACCCCCCCUCCCUAGUGGACCCAGUGACGGCAUAAAGAAUAGUCCAGGUGCGACCUCCGACCUCCCCGCGAGUUUCACCUGGAAGAUGUGAGCUCACCAUUCAUCUUCAUUAGGAACACAAGUUGUGUUCUUCACACCAAGUGUGUGCCUGGAGGUGGCAAAGUUGACUCUUAAAGGAACAGCGUGUGAUUAAGUGAAAGUCUAUAUGUGAACACUCUGCAGUGGGAGUCAUGUGGCCCCGUUUGUCACGCUUUACCUGACACAUGAAACAUGACACAUUUUGCGUGUUGGAUAUCUUCAAAUAUAUUUGGUGGCAACUUUGGCCACAGCUUCAGUUGCUAUGUAGAGUGGCGCUUUACGGCAAAAACAUGUAGAAUAACAUAGCAUGUAGCAUAACAAAACAGUUAGCAUAACAUAACAUGUUGUAUAACAAAACAUGUAGCAUAACAAAACACAGUAAAACAUAACAUGUAGUAGAACACAACAUGUAGCAUAACAUAGCAUGUUGUAUAACACAAAUAUAGCAUAACAAAACAUGUAGCAUAACAAAACAUGGUAAAACAUAACAUGUAAUAGAACACAAAAUGUAGCAUAACAUAACAUGUAGCAUAACAUGUAGCAUAACAUGUAGCAUAACAUGUAGCAUUACAAAACAUGUAGCAUAACACAACAUGUAGCAUCACAUAAAUGUAGGAUAAGAUAACAUGUAGCAAAACAUAACAUGUAGCAAAACAAAACAUGUAGCAUAACAUAACAUGUAGCAUAACACAACAUGUAGCAUAACAAAACAUGUAGCAUAACAUAACAUGUAGCAUAACAUAACAUGUAGCAUAACAUAACAUGUAGCAUCACAUAACAUGUAGCAUAACAUAACAUGCAGCAUAACAUGUAGCAUAACACAACAUGUGACAUCACAUAAAAUGUAGCAUAACAUAACACGUAGCAUAACAUAACAUGUAGCAUAACAAAACAUGUAGCAUAACAUAACAUAUAGCAUAACAAAACAUAGUAAAACAUAACAUGCAGUAUAACAUCACAUGUAGCAUAACAUAACAUGUAGCAUAACACAACAUGUAGCCUUACAUAACAUGUAACGUAACAUAACAUGUAGCAUAACACAACAUGUAGCAUAACAUAACAUGUAACGUAACAUAACAUGUAACAUAACACAACAUGUAGCAUAACAUAACAUGUAGCAUAACAUAACAUGUAGCAUAAUAUAACAUGUAGCAUAACACAACAUGUAGCAUAACAUAACAUGUAACAUAACAUAACAUGUAGCAUAACACAACAUGUAGCAUAACAUAACAUGUAACGUAACUUAACAUGUAGCAUAACACAACAUGUAGCAUAACAUAACAUGUAGCAUAACAUAACAUGUAACGUAACAUAACAUGUAGCAUAACACAACAUGUAGAACAUUGUACAUUGUUAUGUUUGCAGAGGGAGAUGACGACACAGACACCAGGGGGCAAUGU